rnacentral:rRNA from 1 species
UACGUAGGGUGCGAGCGUUGUCCGGAAUUACUGGGCGUAAAGAGCUUGUAGGUGGUUUGUCGCGUUGUUCGUGAAAUCUCACGGCUCAACUGUGAGCGUGCGGGCGAUACGGGCAGACUAGAGUACUGCAGGGGAGACUGGAAUUCCUGGUGUAGCGGUGAAAUGCGCAGAUAUCAGGAGGAACACCAGUGGCGAAGGCGGCUCACUGGCCCGGAACUGACGCUGAGACGCGAAAGCGUGGGGAGCAAACAGG